CAUGCNAGUCGAACGGUANCACAGAGAGCUUGCUCUCGGGUGACGAGUGGCGGACGGGUGAGUAAUGUCUGGGAAACUGCCCGAUGGAGGGGGAUAACUACUGGAAACGGUAGCUAAUACCGCAUAACGUCUUCGGACCAAAGUGGGGGACCUUCGGGCCUCACACCAUUGGAUGUGCCCAGAUGGGAUUAGCUAGUAGGUGGGGUAAUGGCUCACCUAGGCGACGAUCCCUAGCUGGUCUGAGAGGAUGACCAGCCACACUGGAACUGAGACACGGUCCAGACUCCUACGGGAGGCAGCAGUGGGGNAUAUUGCACAAUGGGNGCAAGCCUGAUGCAGCCAUGCCGCGUGUAUGAAGAAGGCCUUCGGGUUGUAAAGUACUUUCAGCGGGGAGGAAGGCGGUGGAGUUAAUAGCUUCAUCGAUUGACGUUACCCGCAGAAGAAGCACCGGCUAACUCCGUGCCAGCAGCCGCGGUAAUACGGAGGGUGCAAGCGUUAAUCGGAAUUACUGGGCGUAAAGCGCACGCAGGCGGUCUGUCAAGUCGGAUGUGAAAUCCCCGGGCUUAACCUGGGAACUGCAUUCGAAACUGGCAGGCUAGAGUCUUGUAGAGGGGGGUAGAAUUCCAGGUGUAGCGGUGAAAUGCGUAGAGAUCUGGAGGAAUACCGGUGGCGAAGGCGGCCCCCUGGACAAAGACUGACGCUCAGGUGCGAAAGCGUGGGAGCAAACAGGAUUAGAUACCCUGGUAGUCCACGCCGUAAACGAUGUCGACUUGGAGGUUGUGCCCUUGAGGCGUGGCUUCCGGAGCUAACGCGUUAAGUCGACCGCCUGGGGAGUACGGCCGCAAGGUUAAAACUCAAAUGAAUUGACGGGGGCCCGCACAAGCGGUGGAGCAUGUGGUUUAAUUGGAUGCAACGCGAAGAACCUUACCUACUCUUGACAUCCAGCGAAUUCGGUAGAGAUACCUUAGUGCCUUCGGGAACGCUGAGACAGGUGCUGCAUGGCUGUCGUCAGCUCGUGUUGUGAAAUGUUGGGUUAAGUCCCGCAACGAGCGCAACCCUUAUCCUUUGUUGCCAGCGGUCCGGCCGGGAACUCAAAGGAGACUGCCAGUGAUAAACUGGAGGAAGGUGGGGAUGACGUCAAGUCAUCAUGGCCCUUACGAGUAGGGCUACACACGUGCUACAAUGGCGCAUACAAAGAGAAGCGACCUCGCGAGAGCAAGCGGACCUCAUAAAGUGCGUCGUAGUCCGGAUUGGAGUCUGCAACUCGACUCCAUGAAGUCGGAAUCGCUAGUAAUCGUAGAUCAGAAUGCUACGGUGAAUACGUUCCCGGGCCUUGUACACACCGCCCGUCACACCAUGGGAGUGGGUUGCAAAAGAAGUAGGUAGCUUAACCUUCGGGAGGGCGCUUACCAC
rnacentral:rRNA from 1 species